rnacentral:rRNA from 1 species
GAAGUCGGAAUUGCUAGUAAUGGCAGGUCAGCAUACUGCCGUGAAUACGUUCCCGGGCCUUGUACACACCGCCCGUCACACCAUGAGAGUUGGAAAUACCCGAAGCCUGUGAGCUAACUUAAAGAGGCAGCAGUCGAAGGUAGAGCCAAUGAUUGGGGUGAAGUCGUAACAAGGUAUC